rnacentral:rRNA from 1 species
AGUGAACGCUGGCGGUAGGCCUAACACAUGCAAGUCGAACGGCAGCACAGUAAGAGCUUGCUCUUACGGGUGGCGAGUGGCGGACGGGUGAGGAAUACAUCGGAAUCUACUUUUUCGUGGGGGAUAACGUAGGUAAACUUACGCUAAUACCGCAUACGACCUACCGGUGAAAGCAGUGGAUCUUCGGAUCUUGCGCGAUUGAAUUAGCCGAUGUCGGAUUAGCUAGUUGGCGGGGUAACGGCCCACCAAGGCGACGAUCCGUAGCUGGUCUGAGAGGAUGAUCGGCCACACUGGAACUGAGACACGGUCCAGACUCCUACGGGAGGCAGCAGUGGGGAAUAUUGGACAAUGGGCGCAAGCCUGAUCCAGCCAUCCCGCGUGGGUGAAGAAGGCCUUCGGGUUGUAAAGCCCUUUUGUUGGGAAAGAAAAGCAGCAGGUUAAUACCCCGCUGUUCUGACGGUACCCAAAGAAUAAGCACCGGCUAACUUCGUG